CAGUAGCCGCGGUAAUACAGAGGGUGCGAGCGUUAAUCGGAUUUACUGGGCGUAAAGCGUGCGUAGGCGGCUUUUUAAGUCGGAUGUGAAAUCCCUGAGCUUAACUUAGGAAUUGCAUUCGAUACUGGGAAGCUAGAGUAUGGGAGAGGAUGGUAGAAUUCCAGGUGUAGCGGUGAAAUGCGUAGAGAUCUGGAGGAAUACCGAUGGCGAAGGCAGCCAUCUGGCCUAAUACUGACGCUGAGGUACGAAAGCAUGGGGAGCAAACAGGAUUAGAUACCCGAGUAGUCCCUGUCCCUUAUAC
rnacentral:rRNA from 1 species